rnacentral:rRNA from 1 species
UGCUCUUUGAUUGAUAAUAAAGAGUAAGACCUGCCCAGUGGUGAAAACUAAACGGCCGCAGAAUUUUAACUGUGCUAAGGUAGCAUAAUCAUUUGUUUUUUAAUUGAAAACUAGUAUGAACGGUUUAACGAAAUAAAGCUGUCUUUUUUAUUAUAAUUAUAAAUUAUUUUUAGAGUAAAAAUUCUCUAAUAAAAUAAAAAGACAAAAAGACCCUAUAGAGUUUAACUUUAAAAUAUUUAUUAUAUUAUUAAGUUUAGUUGGGGCAACUAAAUGAAAAAAAAUUUCAUUAAAUUUUUAUAUAAAAAUAUUAUCAUUAUUUUAAUAAAUUAAAAUAAAUUACCUUAGGGGUAACAGCGUAAGUAUCUUAAAGAGUUCAAAUCGAAAAGAUAAAUUACGACCUCGAUGUUGGAUUAGAAAAACUUAAAAUAGAAAAAAAUUUUAUAGUUAGUCUGUUCGACUAAUAAUAUUCUACAU